rnacentral:sRNA from 1 species
GCUCGCUGACAGACAGGGAGGGGAGUGCGGCAGAGAACACAGCAAAGCACGGAAAUUCUACAAGACCUGACGGACAGGAACAUCUCCGACUUCUUGGUAAAAACGUAUCCUGCUCUUAUAAGAAGCAGCUUAAAGAGCAAAUUCUGGGUCAACGAACAGAGGUAUGGAGGAAUUUCCAUCGGAGGAAAGCUCCCAGUCGUCCCCAUCACGGGGGAAGCACUUGUUGGGUUUUUAAGCGACCUUGGCCGGAUCAUGAAUGUGAGCGGGGGCCCUAUCACUAGAGAGGCCUCUAAAGAAAUACCUGAUUUCCUUAAACAUCUAGAAACUGAAGACAACAUUAAGGUGUGGUUUAAUAACAAAGGCUGGCAUGCCCUGGUCAGCUUUCUCAAUGUGGCCCAUAACGCCAUCUUACGGGCCAGCCUGCCUAAGGACAGGAGCCCCGAGGAGUAUGGAAUCACCGUCAUUAGCCAACCCCUGAACCUGACCAAGGAGCAGCUCUCAGAGAUUACGGUGCUGACCACUUCAGUGGAUGCUGUGGUUGCCAUCUGUGUGAUUUUCUCCAUGUCCUUCGUCCCAGCCAGCUUUGUCCUUUAUUUGAUCCAGGAGCGGGUGAACAAAUCCAAGCACCUCCAGUUUAUCAGUGGAGUGAGCCCCACCACCUACUGGGUGACCAACUUCCUCUGGGACAUC